GCUGGAAGCAGUAGAAAUGCCAGAAAUUCUUUAUUCUUUUCUUUGCUUUUCUCAGUACUGGGGACCGAACCCUGGGCCUUGUACUUGUUAGACAAGCAUUCCACCACUGAGCUACAUCCUAGCCUUUUUUAUUUUUAUUUCUGAAACAGAGUCAUGCUAAAUUGCUCGGAUGGGCCUUGAACUUGCAGACCUCCUGCCUUGCCUCCAGAAUAGCAGGACUGUAGGCAUUUUCCACUGCUCCCAGUUUCGGACAUUCUCUGAACUCACAAGUUCUGGGAUUAGGAGUUUGUUGAGAGCGGGGCCUGCAGUGCCUGUUGUGUAGCAGCCUGGUGCUGUUAGAACAGGAGCAUCACACUGAUCCGGUUAUUCAGAAAAAUACCGCAGAGCCCCCUGUGUGCAGUCCCGUACCCUAGGUGCUGUCUGGGGUCAUCAGGAGAACCACAGCACAGUGUGUUUUUGAGUUCUGAAGAGUCACACACAAGAAAACUAGGACUGUUUCCAGUGCUUAGACGGAGAGAGAAUGCAGACUCAGCCACUGCACACACCAGUGCAGAAACGGGCGCUUGGCUGUGCUCUUCCCUGAGGAGUGGUGGGGAGGGAGGUGCUCCCAGCAGGAUGCUGAGAGGACGGAUGGGAGGAUCCCCGGAGGUGGGACGGAGAAGGGAAGGACAGUGCAGCGCCAUCCAAGUGGAAGGGCUUGGAGGAGGGCUAGCAUGUGUUAUGUGCUCAGCGCAGAAGUAAAAAUUAUGAACUCCGGAUAUUUUAUUCCUGUUGAUCAAAUUAAAAGAAAAAAUGAGAGCAGGUUUAUAACAGCAAGUGUUCUAGGUAUUGGGAAAUCCUGAACCUUGAUGGUGUAAUGCUUUGAGAUUAUGGCAAAAUUUGAAAAGGUAUUUAACACUUGGUUACCUUGGAGAAAAGAAUACAAGCAUUAGGCCCAUGGAGGGCAGUGGGAUGUUCUUGUAUGAUCUGUAUUUAUUCUGUAUGCUGUUGGCACGAGGCUCAGCAGUUUUGUUUUGUCUCAACAUGAGCUCCCUGUGAGAUUGUACUGAAACUGCAAAGGAUCACCCUUACUCUCGAGGCUGAUCCUGAUUCUAAGAAAUAAAGCUUGCUCACCAUGGAAAUUGAUAAUACUUAACCCGCUAUCACUACAGUUCGAGCAUCCCCAGAAAAAUCUCAAACCCCAAAUCCCCCAAAAUCCAAAACUUUUGAGCAUCAACAUAAUGCCACAAAUGGAAAAUAAUACACCUGACCUAUAUGGGAGUCACAGUCAAAACAUAGCCACCCUAAAAAUACUGUAUAAAACUACUCUUAGGUUAAUUUGUAUAAAUAUAUGAAACACAAAUGAAUUUAGACUUGGGUUACAUCCACAGGAUGCAUCGUUGUGUAUAUACACAUAUUCCAGAAUCUGAAAAAAGUCCAAGACUUCUGGCCUCAGUCAUCUCAGAUAAGGCAGCAGACUUUGGUCUUCCUGGCCAAAGGGUACACCUUGACAGUGUGGAAGCAAACCUGCUUGAAGACAACCCUCUCCCUCACUGUUCUCCUCUGAUGUCCUGCUUGGGCAUUAAGGACUAGGCUGUGGGGAGAGAGGGAGAAGAACAACAGGAAGAAAGAAGAUUCUGUGGGGAACAAAGAAUGCAAAUGCUAGUGACAGCCCUCUAGCCAUGUGGAUUAUCUUUGCCGUGACCAAAUCCCUGACACGCACAGUUUAAAAGAGGAAAAGUUUAUUUGGUUUAUGGUUGCAGAUAUUUCAGUUCAUGGAAUUUCACCCAGGAUGAAUUCCUGCCCAAAUGUCGAUUUUAUUGGCUGUCUCCCAUGACAUUUCUUCAUGUUUUGCCACGUGAGUUGUAAUUUUUAAGGUACAUUUUUGGUUUUAUUUCUUUUGUUUAUAGAUUGAACCUGUGUUUUCAAUUCUUCAGCCCUUGCCUCAAGCAGAACUGAAUCUUGACACUUUGGCCAGGUGACUUUUCAGUGCUCCCACGGUACCAGGUGGGAGAUAAGUCCCCACUCUGUGGAUGUGGAUGGAGGUCAUGUGACGUGCUUUAGUUGGUCCCCUUCUGACCUUAGCAUUUAUCAUGAGGAAGCACAUGGUAGACCCAGAAAAAAGACAUGGGAAAUAAAGUGAAGUAGAACUGAAGUCUGGAACCAACUGUAGCCAAACUCCACCCACUUCCAGUUCAUCUGAAAUCUCAAAUGUAGAGAACAUUUUUGAAAGCCACAGAGAUUAUGGAGUUAACAUGAACGCAGCCAAAAUUGACUGAGAAACUUACACUUAGAAGAGGACUUCUUCUAUGAAAAAUCCUGAAGUGUGUCUAUUGUAGGAAACUGGAAAACUGACAACAAAGGUUGUGCAGCUGUGGAGCACAUGAGAUGCCACUCUCGCCCAAGAACUCGAGAGUUAGAAAUGCAUGCAUUCAACUUGUGGCCCUGAGCAAAGAGUUACUGGCAAGAAGUUAAUAGUACAAGUGGCUACUGUUUCUACACUUGAUAAGAGGAAGGAGACACACUCAGAGUCUAACUGGCCAGUGUGUAUACAGACUUGAAAACAAGAAUUUAGAGAGCCCAGGGUUUCACAAUUUUCAGGAAGUGAGACUGGUUCUCAUCUCAAACUGUGGACAAUGAAAAUGACCAACAUUUGAAACUGGAAAGUCAUUCUAAAGCACAGGUUUAGGGCAAAGGCUAUCUGAGUGUGUUGUCAUCACCAAGACCUCAGGGAGGAUUAAGGCAGCGCCUCGAAGACGGCUUCAAAGAAGUCUGAGAGGGUGGACACACACGAUCCUGAGACACCCAGAGUGGGGACGAGAUGUCUCAAAAAGAGUCACAGAAGCAUUGUCACACAACAGCACGCCAUACUCUAUAAAUGAGGAAAAUCGUGCCGGAACAAAUUUCCUUGUACUAAAUUAUCUUUCUCGCCCUGCUUAGCUCUGUUGCUCCAAGCAUGUUUAUCUAUGGAACAUCAGGAAGGACUUAGGAAUGCUUUGCAUUCUGCGUUCCCAGAUUCCUAAGUUCCUACAUUCCUCUGUAAGGUCUUACUGUGCCCAACAUUGUGUUCCACCGGCGUUGUACGUCUGUACAGGUUCUUCCUUGUCCACUUUCCUCCUUGGCCCCGUUGGAAGUGGAUUUUAAUGGUUAUAUUUUCCUUGGAGUAAGUCCACUUAUUGUCCAUGACAUUUUGGGUAUGCAAAUGCUUUUUGAAGUCUAGGAUCUUAAUUCCUUUCAUAGUACAAUUUCUUCAAAAUCACAGUAGCCUUGUGACCUAUUUUCUUCCCGUGUAUACCGUGGGAUAGUUGCCACAGCCACAUAAUUUACUAAUUAAAUUCUCCAGCCUUAAUUGUUUCUCUGCCCUAUAGUCACUGCAUCAUUCUUUAACUUUUGUUUCUGCAGGUUCUCAUUCAAUGGGACAUAUUUCUUUGUGAGUUUUGGUUGACUUUGACUCUGAUGCUCAUUUCCCUUUGUAAAACUAUUUGUUGGGAUUCCCUGAAGUGUAGGAUGAGAGUUCUUUCUUCUGGGGAGAAUUCAGCUGUCCAACCAACCAGACUUGGCAGUGUCAUUUGAGCUCCACCCUUUGAGCCCAAUGUGCAGAGUGGGGUUUACCAUGUUAGGGGAACUUGGGCUGUGACUUCACAAUGACUGGGCCACACAUUUUUUUAUAUUUCUAUUCCUUUUUAAUUUAAUUUAAUUUGGGGGGUACCAGGGAUCAAACUCAGGACCUUGUGCUUGCGAGGCAGGCACGGUGCCACUGAGCUAAAUCCCCUGCCUCCUUUUUAACAUUCCAUUCAAUAUGACAGCUGCCUUCCCUGCAGUACUCAGGAGCUCAGAAAAAUGCAGAUGUACUUAUGGUUUGCUCUAGCCAGGAGGGCAGAGUUCUUUUCAUUUCUAGUGCAGUUCUGGGCCCAUCUCUGAUAAACAUCUCUUCCUUAGAUAAGCCAUGUUUCUGUCCCUCUUGUCUCCUGAAGUUGCAGACAUUCAUAGUAUCAGUAAAUGAUCUAUGGAAAAUUUGAUUUUGAUACUGAUAUUCCCCCCUUCAUCUUCUGGGCUGUUUUUCUCCUAGAAUUUUCUCUAGCCAUUCCUUGCUGUGUUGUCACCCCUGAUUAUUACUAUUUGGACAAUAAGUGUCGCCCAAAAGGCCCAUAACCCUAAAGGCUUGGGCACCAGCCUGUGGUGCUGUUGGGAAAUGCUGGAGCCUUUAGGGUCUGGGGCUGGGGGAGGGAAGUUACGUCACCGAGGGCUGGUCCUCCUGGGAAUAUUCAGACCUUGGCUCCUCCCCAUCUCUCUCUGCUUGAUGGCCACCAUGAGCUGAGUUUCCCUUUGCCAUGCGCUCCCACUGUGACAUCCUGCCUCGCCACUGGCCCCAGAACAACAGAGUCAGCCGACUGCAGACUGAAACCUCAGAAACGUUGAUUCGUAAUAAAUCUUUCCUCCUUUUGAAUGGAUUUGCUCAAACAUCCCGUCCAGUGGUUGACAGGAGACUAACACAAUGAUGUUAAGAUUUUUUUAAAUCCAGUGACCAUUGUUGCCUUUUAGAGGGUGAUUAGUUCAAAUGACUGUAUUUAAAAAUAGAUCCCUACAGCAUGUUCACGCCUCAUCUUAUAUACUGUUAAGUAAUUUAAAAUACUGACGUUGAAGUAAAAGGAAAUGGAAUUACUUGAGAAACAAAGAAUUUGACUGCACUGAGACAGGGCGGACCUGCACAGUGUCCAGGAAGGCAAACUCAGGAGAGGCAUUUCUAAUGGAAGAUUUUCACAGCAGGUGGCUUUUAGGCAGUUCACUGGUUGUGUGGAAAAUCCUAGAUGCAAACCUGUUUGGUUGGUGAGUUAGGGCACCCUAAGCUGAGAUGUUACAGGAAGGAAAACUGGCCCCAGUCGUUUGCUCAAGUCCACUGAAACAUUCUGUGGUUUACCCUUUAGCAGGUAUAAGUGCAAUUCUGUUGCAAACACCACUUGAGAAAGUCCUAGACCGAAUAACUUCGUUUUCUUGCACAAUUCCUGUGAAAAAUGAAACCUUGAGAAAAAAAGAAAACCAUGAGGCAGAAUAAUACAAUUCACAUAAAUUGAAACUGUUAAGCCAAAGGGAAAAAAACCAUGCAGUUCAUGAAUACUUACAUGGGUAUAAAAUUCUUCAGAGGUAGACUGAAAACAUAAGGGCUCACUGAGAAAAGGAUUUUAAGAAAACAGAAAUAAGUGGGAGAUGGUGGUGCUUCAAAUUUACCCAGAAUGCCUAUUUCCUUAUUGAACGACAAAAGACUUAAAAAAUAUUUGACUAAAUUAAUUCACACAUAAUUUGAAAUUAUGGAUAUUUAUCGUGUGUGUGCUCACAUGGGUGUGUAUUUUAUAUAUUCUAAAUUUUUUUCCAGGGUGAAAAUAAAAAAAAGAUCAAGGUUAGUUUGGGAGCAUCAAAAUAAUGAAGAGACCCCCGUUCAUUUUGUCUUACUUUGCUAAAGAACCAAAUUUGAGGAAGUCUACAGCAGGGUGAAGUAAAAGGAUUGUCAGAAGUUUCCUUAGAGAAGGGCAGAGAAAAAGAGGAAGCAGUGGGAGAAGAUAAGCUCUGGAAAUCCAGUCUGGUUUGUGUGAGGAAAUCACCUUUUUCAAAUGGGAAGCGGAUCAGGAGAUGGAGGGAGAGGGAGAGAGGAGGAAAGGGGAUUGAGGAAAGGAAGGAAGAUGUGUAACUGCACCAGCUCUGUACAAGGAGUGUAAACAUCAUGUGCUGCAAACAUGGAGUAAUGGAAAAACUAAAACAUCACGGAGACGCAGCUGCACAGGGAAAGUGUUACAUCCACGUAGUCCUCAUCUUGAGAGCAGUCACGUGUGAUGUAUUGUUAAUCUCGAGUGGGAGGAAACCCACAACUAAUCUCAGAAAGAGCAAAUGGGUGAACCUGCAUAGAAGAAAUAUUUCCAAAAAAAAGAAACAACGAGUUCAAAUAGCAAAGAAAAUAAGGUACUGGCACUGAAUGAAAUAUGAAUAGAUGAUGUUCUUCCAUUAAGCUUAAAGACCAGGGGUUGAGAUUUGGUGGGGGAAGAGGCUGUCUACAAGAGACACUGCACAUCAGUAAAGAAAGACAGAAAGUGAAGGACCUACAAAGAUCAAGUUUAUGCCAAUUAUAAAUGGGAAAAUGUAUGAGAAUGUGUGACACAAACAUGUAAAUAUCAAGCCACUUAACAACUAGCCAAAUACAUAGAGAAAACCAUUGGGAAUUUGAUAAAUCUUAUAAAAUAUGAUUCUGACUAAAGAUUCCAGUGCUUCUUGGCCCGAAUCAGACAGAAUGAAAGCAACCAAGGACUGAGAAAGACAAUCUUACGUCACUUAAAGAUCAACAUGCCGGCGUCCUGUACUCUGAACUUUCUGAUGCUGAUACCGUCUUGAUUUCUUAAUCUUUCCAGAACACUUCAUCUAAGGGUUAACGUAUCUACAUCACUACCCCUGUGGGCAGACAACCAUGACAUGAUGCAUUCAGUUCCACAGAGGUUAAAAUGUAGGAAACAAGGGAUUAUUUUAGAAUCAAAGUUAUGGCUUUUUUUUAUGUGUCAAUAAAAUAUUUGCACAAGAAUGUCAUAUACUUGACUACAAAGUAUGAAUUGUGAUAAAAGUCUAUUUUAAUAAAUAAAUAAAAGUCUGUUUAAAGAAGAAAUCUGAUCAACAAAAUCUCAAAGUCUUGAAAGACUCAAAGGUUAAGAAAGACAUUCCUGGAUGACCCUUAUGUCAAAGAUAAAAUUGAAAAACUAAACAUUUUAGAAAAGAAUGAACUGAGGAACAAUUUUCACCAAGUCUUAUAGAACAGAGAACUUUUCAGUGAAACUUCUAGCCUUUAAAUGCUUUCAUUAUUAAGAACAAAAGAAAGAUUAAAAGUAAAGGGAUUCAGAAUUUAUCUGUAAAAAUUAAAUCAAGGACCACAAAUAAACCGAUGUCAGCAGAAGAGUCAAUAAAGAAAGUUCAACAUAUUAGUCAAGAUACAUAGAGAAACAGAAUAUUAAAUAUAAUGUAGGACUUCAGUCUGAGGUCAGUGGAAAACCUUUAAAAAGUUUGAAAUCCUAAGAGUUACAUAACGAAUGUAGACGUUUCUGGCAACAUAAAAAUUAAAAUUAGAUUUAACAAAAUCAACACAAAAGCAACAGACAGGAAAUAAAUCAUCAUUUUAUAUAAAUGACAGACACAUGGUCAGUGUGUAAAAUAUGCAAUAAUUCUUAAAUGACAAAAUGGAAGGGCACACAAAGAGAAAAAACUUCAGCAAGGCAAAUAAAAUUGAACAAGAACAUUUGAAAAAAUGUUCAAACACACUAGCAGCCAAGAGAAAACAAAUGAAAUAGCAGUAACUCUUUGACUGAUUGAUUGACUUAUUAUUUUUAUUGUUUUGAGAAGAGUCUUGCGCUAUAGUUCAGGCUGGCCUUGAACUCAUAGUGAUCCUCCUGCCUCAGCCUCCCUAGGAUUACAGGCAUGUGCCACCACACCCAGCCUUCAAUUUAUGAGAUUAAUAAAAAUUGAGACAUAACACUUGUCUUAGCAGAGGGUAAAGAUUUACAAUAAGCACUAAAAAUGAAGAUUUUAGAAAAUAUUUUCAAAUUACCCGUAUACCUAUCUAGAAAUGCAGUUAAACUCUACUAAAAUAUUUUGGCUUAAACAAUGGACUUGAUAUUAGGUAAGCCGUGACAGUAACAAGUUGGAUGGGAAAACAUAAAAAUAAUCUCAUAUUUGUAAGUGUCAACUAUAAAGUAUCUAAGAAUGCAGAUAUCCAGAAAGAUUCAGAGAAUAUGUGAAGUAAUGAUGUAAGCUAAUAAAUGAGUAAUCAUAAAAUAGCAUAAAGGAAAAAUAUAUAAGACUAUAAGUCCUCAUGACUUUUUCCAGUAAAAAGCCAAGUUUUAAACCUAAACUCAUAUAUUCAAAGACAUUUCAUUAAGAAUUAUAGCCAGAGUGCAAGGACCCGAGUUCAAUCCCCGGUACCAAAAACAAAACAAAACAAAACAAAAAAAUGAAUUAUAGCCGGGCAUGAUAGUACACACCUGUAAUCUCAGCACUCAGGAGACUGAGUCAGGAGGAUCCCUGGAAGUAUGCAAAGUCUUUGAAUAUAUGUGUUUAGGUUUAAAACUUGGCUUUUUCCUGUAAAAAGCCAUGAAGACUUACAGUCUUAUAUAUUUUUCCUUUAUGCUAUUUUAUGAUUACUCAUUUAUUAGCUUACAUCAUUUUGAUAUAUUUGUAGUUUUAUACUUUUUACACUGAAGCCACUAAAGCAAAAUUAAAUCUUUCUUUUUUUCCUGUUGAAAUACUUUUUUGAAGGAUAGAAAAAGUUUGAACUGGGGAAAAGUAAUAUCUUUCUA